CAGUCGCCGCGGUAAUACGGAGGGGGCUAGCGUUGUUCGGAGUUACUGGGCGUAAAGCGUACGUAGGCGGCUUUGUAAGUUAGAGGUGAAAGCCUGGUGCUCAACACCAGAACUGCCUUUAAGACUGCAUCGCUUGAACGUCGGAGAGGUGAGUGGAAUUCCGAGUGUAGAGGUGAAAUUCGUAGAUAUUCGGAAGAACACCAGUGGCGAAGGCGGCUCACUGGACGACUGUUGACGCUGAGGUACGAAAGCGUGGGGAGCAAACAGGAUUAGAGACCCCCGUAGUCCCUGUCUCUUAUAC
rnacentral:rRNA from 1 species